GAACUGCGAUAAGUAAUGUGAAUUGCAGAAUUCAGUGAAUCAUCGAGUCUUUGAACGCACACUGCGCCCCCUGGCAUUCCGGGGGGCAUGCCUGUCCGAGCGUCAUUGCUGCCCUUCAAGCCCGGCUUGUGUGUUGGGUCGUCGUCCCCUCCGGGGGACGGGCCCGAAAGGCAGCGGCGGCACCGCGUCCGGUCCUCGAGCGUAUGGGGCUUUGUCACCCGCUCGAUAAGGACCGGCCGGGCGCCAGCCGGCGUCUCCAACCUUUUUUUCUCAGGUUGACCUCGGAUCAGGUAGGGAUACCCGCUGAACUUAAGC
rnacentral:misc_RNA from 1 species